GGGUUCCUCCGCAGGUUAGGCCCUGACCAGGCGGAACCUUUUGAAACGCCUCCCCGUAAACAAGCGCCACGGGGACACCGGAGGAGAACGCACACCACUCUCCGCGUGCUACUUGCUUGGAGCCGCACGGGCGGAUGUGAACAUUCUGCCGACUUCUUCCUCUACCGUGAAUGGAAUGGAUGUUCUAGCCGAGGAGUUCGGGAGCCUGACUCCGGAGCAGCUGACUGCGCCGAUCCCGACUGUGGAGGAAAAAUGGAGGCUGCUUCCAGCAUUUUUAAAGGUUAAAGGCCUGGUGAAACAGCACAUAGACUCCUUUAACUAUUUCAUUAAUGUAGAGAUAAAGAAGAUAAUGAAAGCCAAUGAAAAGGUUACAAGUGAUGCUGACCCCAUGUGGUACUUAAAAUACCUUAAUAUCUAUGUCGGACUUCCUGAUGUUGAAGAAAGCUUCAAUGUAACUAGACCAGUGUCCCCUCAUGAGUGCCGUCUGAGGGACAUGACGUACUCCGCCCCAAUCACAGUGGACAUUGAGUAUACCCGAGGCAGCCAGAGGAUAAUCCGCAACGCCUUACCCAUUGGCAGAAUGCCCAUCAUGCUCCGAAGCUCGAACUGUGUUCUAACAGGGAAAACGCCGGCAGAGUUUGCCAAACUGAAUGAGUGUCCACUAGACCCAGGUGGCUACUUCAUUGUUAAAGGAGUGGAAAAAGUCAUUCUUAUCCAAGAGCAGCUGUCCAAGAACAGGAUCAUUGUGGAGGCCGACAGGAAAGGAGCCGUUGGAGCCUCAGUUACCAGCUCCACCCAUGAGAAGAAAAGCAGAACCAACAUGGCCGUGAAACAGGGUCGAUUCUAUCUGAGGCACAACACCCUGUCUGAAGAUAUCCCCAUUGUCAUCAUAUUUAAGGCCAUGGGUGUGGAGAGUGACCAGGAAAUCGUGCAGAUGAUUGGAACAGAGGAGCACGUGAUGGCUGCAUUUGGGCCCAGCUUGGAGGAGUGCCAGAAAGCUCAGAUCUUCACCCAGAUGCAGGCAUUGAAGUAUAUAGGGAAUAAAGUAAGAAGACAAAGAAUGUGGGGAGGUGGACCAAAGAAAACCAAAAUAGAAGAAGCAAGAGAACUCCUGGCUUCUACCAUUCUGACCCACGUACCAGUGAAGGAAUUCAAUUUCCGAGCUAAGUGUAUCUACACUGCAGUGAUGGUGCGAAGGGUGAUCCUGGCCCAAGGAGAUAACAAGGUCGAUGACAGAGACUAUUAUGGCAACAAACGACUGGAAUUGGCAGGACAGCUCUUAUCUCUUCUUUUUGAAGAUUUGUUUAAAAAGUUUAAUUCAGAAAUGAAGAAGAUUGCAGACCAAGUGAUUCCUAAACAGAGAGCAGCCCAGUUUGACGUCGUUAAACACAUGCGCCAAGACCAGAUUACCAACGGCAUGGUCAAUGCCAUCUCCACGGGAAAUUGGUCUCUGAAGAGAUUUAAGAUGGACCGACAGGGUGUGACCCAGGUGCUGUCUCGCUUGUCAUAUAUAUCUGCACUCGGCAUGAUGACAAGAAUCUCUUCCCAGUUUGAAAAGACGAGGAAAGUGAGUGGCCCUCGUUCUCUGCAGCCGUCUCAGUGGGGAAUGCUCUGUCCCUCCGACACACCUGAAGGGGAGGCCUGUGGUUUGGUUAAGAACUUGGCCCUCAUGACACAUAUAACAACUGACAUGGAAGAUGGACCCAUUAUUAAGUUAGCUGGGAACUUGGGAGUAGAAGAUGUGAAUUUAUUAUGUGGAGAAGAGCUCUCUUACCCAAAUGUGUUUCUUGUCUUCCUGAAUGGUAACAUCCUUGGUGUCAUUCGAGACCAUAAAAAGCUUGUCAGCACAUUCCGGCUGAUGCGAAGAGCAGGCUAUAUCAAUGAAUUUGUUUCUAUCUCCACAAACCUUACGGAUCGCUGUGUUUAUAUUUCCUCUGAUGGCGGGCGCUUGUGCAGGCCUUACAUAAUUGUUAAGAAACAAAAGCCAGCUGUCACAAAUAAGCACAUGGAAGAGUUGGCUCAAGGCUACAGGAAUUUUGAAGAUUUCUUACAUGAAAGUCUAGUUGAAUACUUAGAUGUGAAUGAAGAAAAUGACUGUAACAUUGCGCUCUACGAACAUACAAUUAAUAAAGACACCACCCACUUGGAGAUUGAACCCUUCACUCUGCUUGGUGUUUGUGCCGGCCUGAUCCCAUACCCUCAUCACAACCAGUCUCCAAGAAACACCUACCAGUGUGCUAUGGGCAAGCAAGCCAUGGGUACCAUUGGCUACAAUCAACGGAACAGAAUUGAUACACUUAUGUAUCUACUAGCAUAUCCACAAAAGCCCAUGGUUAAAACAAAAACAAUCGAGUUGAUAGAUUUUGAGAAGUUGCCGGCUGGCCAGAACGCAACUGUUGCCGUGAUGAGCUACAGCGGCUAUGACAUUGAGGACGCGCUGGUUUUGAACAAGGCCUCUCUGGACAGAGGUUUUGGGCGUUGUCUUGUGUAUAAAAAUGCUAAGUGCACCUUGAAACGAUACACCAAUCAGACCUUUGAUAAGGUGAUGGGUCCCAUGUUGGAUGCUGCUACCAGAAAACCCAUCUGGCGACAUGAAAUUUUAGAUGCAGAUGGCAUUUGUUCUCCAGGUGAGAAAGUGGAAAACAAACAGGUGCUUGUAAACAAGUCCAUGCCCACAGUGACACAGAUUCCUUUGGAAGGGAGCAACGUGCCACAGCAACCACAGUAUAAAGAUGUGCCUAUCACGUACAAAGGUGCGACAGACUCCUACAUCGAGAAAGUGAUGAUCUCUUCCAACGCCGAGGAUGCUUUCCUCAUCAAGAUGCUCCUGAGACAGACGCGGCGCCCAGAGAUUGGAGACAAAUUCAGCAGUCGCCAUGGACAAAAGGGUGUCUGUGGCCUGAUCGUCCCCCAGGAAGACAUGCCGUUCUGUGAUUCUGGCAUCUGUCCCGACAUCAUAAUGAACCCACACGGCUUCCCAUCAAGAAUGACGGUUGGAAAGUUAAUUGAGCUGCUGGCUGGCAAGGCAGGCGUGUUAGACGGCAGGUUCCACUACGGCACUGCCUUUGGAGGGAGUAAAGUGAAGGAUGUGUGUGAAGAUCUCGUUCGCCAUGGUUACAACUACCUGGGGAAGGACUACGUCACCUCAGGCAUCACAGGUGAGCCCUUAGAAGCAUACAUCUAUUUUGGACCUGUGUAUUAUCAGAAACUGAAACACAUGGUGCUGGAUAAAAUGCACGCCCGGGCCCGAGGACCACGAGCUGUCCUUACCAGGCAGCCCACUGAAGGGCGGUCGCGCGAUGGUGGCUUGCGACUUGGAGAAAUGGAACGCGACUGUCUAAUCGGCUAUGGAGCGAGUAUGCUUUUGCUGGAGAGACUAAUGAUCUCAAGUGAUGCCUUUGAGGUUGACGUCUGCGGGCAGUGUGGACUCCUGGGAUAUUCUGGCUGGCCUUGGGAAUCCAUCUGAGAGCUGACUGGAGUUUUUCCUUCCAGUGUGUGUCCAGAACAUCUCCCAUUUCCGUGACUACGCGCCUGUGCUGUCUUUUGGAUGACUGUGUGCCACUACUGCAAAUCUUCGUGCCACGUGUCCUCCCUCCGCAUCCCGUAUGCCUGCAAGCUGCUCUUCCAGGAGUUACAGUCCAUGAACAUCAUCCCCAGGCUGAAACUGGCCAAGUACAACGAGUAAGGCUGUGCGGUGCUCACGAGGGUGCAGUCGGCCGACGGCCUGUACAGCCUGAGGCAGGGGGCUCUCGGUGACUUCUGUGCUCAUUCUGCUUCACGGAGGAGGCAGAGGAGGAGGAGGAAGAAGAGGAAGAAGGAGAGGAGGAGGAAGAGAAUGAAGGAGAGGAGGAAGAGGAGCAGCAGCAGCAGCUGUCUGAGGUCCAGAGGCUGGCUUGACACCCUUGAUCUGGAGCCUGAAGCCAUAGGAGGUGCUGGGCCCCGCACAGCACUGAGUGGAGUCACACACAGAUGGACACAAGCUAGAGAGAGUACCAACGCCUAUUAAUUUUGUUGUUUGUUUGUUUGUGUUGAGUGGGAGUCUCACUCUAUCCCAGGUGGGAUUUGAACUCACCUCAAUUCUCCUGCCUUUGUCUCCCACAAGUGCUGGAAUCAUGGAUAUGAGCCAAGCAUAUCUGGUUUGUUUAUGUUAUUAUGUUUUAAACUGUACUUGUUAGAAAAACCUUCUUCCUUUAAAUUUCCUCUGAGGUCUUCUAGCUAACAGAAUCCUGGGUUCUCAUCAGAUGUGGAGGAGGUAAAGAAUUGUUUGAAUUGGGACUGAGAAGUUAGCUCAGUCAAGGGCCUGUUGCAUAAGUAUGACCUGAGUUCACCCCCCAACAACCCAUGUAAGGGCUGGGUGUGGCACCUAGCACCCCUGUAAAAGUCAGAUACUGAGGGGGUGGGGGUGGGGAGCAGACAGACUGACCCCUGGCGCUUUCUGACCAGCUGGCAUAACCAGUCAGUGCAAUUCAGGUUCAAUGAGGGACCCCUGUGUCAAGGGCUAGUGUGAACAGUGACUGAGGAGGACCCCAGUGUCCCUCUGGCCUCCACACACACAUCCAAAGAAUGGGUAGAUGUGUGGGCACAACUUUUGCUGAGGUGGGAAGAAGUAAACUUUCUCUCAGAGGACAGCAAGUGACAUUUGUGACUCUGAAAGACCAGCAGUCACAGUCUGCUGUCACAUUGUGAGUCAGAGCUUGCUCAGACAUCGAUCUUGAUGGAAUGUGAUCUGUGAAGUCUACCUUUUAAGACUCUCCUCCUACUUCUUUUGAACCUGCAGGAUACCUAGGUCUAAUCCAUGGGCCCCUGGUCACUCAUUUCCUACCUUUCCAUUGCUACCAGAAAGUUAGCUGUCCACUCUCUCAGUUUGUUCUUAACUGUUGUGCCCUGGCUCCAGAUAAAUGUUUAUAUGGAGAAGUGUUCAGAGAGAGAGUGUGCCCCAGCAGCAUUGAGUGUGCGGAUGAGGCUGAGGAGGGAGUGCGAGGACUUUGCAGAUCUCACUCCAGGCUCAUCCGGAUGAGUCACGACUUAAAGACUCAACCCUGUUUGUUUUCUUCACAAUAAAGAUGUGGCAGUCA